rnacentral:lncRNA from 1 species
AUGCCAGUGGGAGCUCUGGCCCAGAGUGACUCCAAGCUGUAUCUGCUGACUUCACUGUAUUACUCCUGCCCAAAGUCCACGAUGGGGGAGCACAACUCACCAUGCUGGUUGGUGGCUGCUGGUGGAGUAAAUGAGACUGAAGCUCUAAAAUGCCCCAGUAUCUGCUGCCUCUCCCUGCUGGUCCCUCACCUCCCUUGGCCGUCCUGCCUUGGAACCCUGUUUGCUGCCCACCUGCCCAGGGCAGCGGGUGGGUGCACCUGACGCCGAUGCUCUCCCGAGCAUCCCUUUGCCAGCAUGGUCCCCAUUCUGCUCUGGGGUAUCACCAGCAGCAUUUUGUGCUUCUCCCCACUCCCAUCCCUCCCAAGAAAAGCAAUUGCUGAGGUGACGCAAGGAGCCCAUGACAAAGCCAGGAGCUGAAGGCAGAUGUCCUGGGUAUGGUGUAGGACCGGGCAUGUGGCAGGCCUCUCAGCAGUUCUUCUACCUGCAGUGCUUUUACGGAGGGUGCUAGCUGCCAGCCUAAUGGUUCCACAGGCUCUGCAACGCAAAGACACGGAAAGCGAUAACACCAAGGUGAAGUAGGUCUGUAAGCAACAGAAUUUAGGAGGUUUGGUUUCUUGUAUGAGCUCUGAUAUUUAAUAAUAUGUCUGAGCUCUCUCUGCAACCUUUCUCCUCAGAAAGAUGGACAAUUUUAGUCUCUCUCCCUUAACCGGCUACCAUUUUUUACAAAACAGGUAGAAAUGUAAUAUCUCUUGAGAUUCCUGCUCCUUUGCUGAUGACUUCAAAAGGUGGGAGGGUGUGGGGUUGCUGGGCACCACAGUUGUGUAAAUCUUAUUCCACAGGGAUCCCAGGCCAAAAAAAUUCUUUUUGUGGAGUUCUAAAAAUAAGCAUUCAAAUAGCAAACAAGAGAAGAAACUGCCUGGGAGAAAUCACAAAGUAAGUUCUGUCAUUACAACCACACUUCACUCUUUGAGCAGGGUUUGCAAGGCGGGUGAAGCUUUGGUAACUGUCUUCCUGUCUCUUCCCCAGCAUUUAUAUCUUGGGAGCUUUUGACCGGAAAGCAAUAAGAAAUAUUGUAGUGGUGUAUGCUUUUCUCCCUGCAUACUAUAUUAUUAUUG